UGAGGGACCAAAGUUAAAGACAAAACUGAAAAAAUCUAAUAAAAUCUCUGGAACUCCAAAGAUGGAAUAAACACAGAAUUAUCUUCUAUAAUGUCUUUUAAAAUGCCUUGUCUUCACUUCCUUUCUUUCACCCACAGAGAAGCAGCAUCAUUCACACAUUUGCAACUGUAGCUAUUCCAAGCAUAAAUUCAAUUAUUCAUAGAAUUAAUUUAUUAAUUGAAUCUGGUAAAUUUAUCUUCACUAAAUUAAUGAUUCUUAUUUUCUUAGAACAAACUGCUAUCACAAGCGGUUUUGGUUUCUAGCUGGUUAACAUACACCUCCUGUUUCCUCAGCUAACAUUUGCUUCUGAAUACUUGGAGAUGCUCCAGUGACAAAGAAUUGAUUUUACUUUCAACUUUUGCCUGUCAUUUCAAUUAGACUAACAUGCCAGAGACUUUCAUUACACAAAAAGAAAAAAGGGAGCUUUGUCAGCAAAGAGAAGAUUAAACAAUUGAAAUAAGAAACACUUUAAAGGAAUGUCAGCUUGAUGCAUAUUGGUCUUCUCAUGUGCCAUUAUGAAACACAUAUUUCUUUUUUAUCCCAAAAGAAGUAACAGGCGUGCUUAAGGGAUUUUAUUUCGAACAGCUUUUUUUUGUUUGGUUCAAAGAUGAUGGGUUGAUAUUUCUUCUGUCUUUAGCACACUGCCUAGGAAGCACAUACGGGGCUGGGAUUCUAAAAGGACAGCAAGGGCCAUGAAGAAUAAAAAGAAAUCGAAGUUCUGUAUCAGGUUGCAGUCAAUCUGCUUUUCCAACCAGGCAACAGCAAGAGAUGCUGAGGAACAGCCACUGCAGGGAGCAUCUCUGAUGCAACUUCAACUCUAUUGUGUACAUUGUAUGCUUUGAAAUAGUAUGCCAUCUCCUGGCAUUUCUGACUCCUUUAGAAAGCAAUUAGAUAGGCAACAUGCAGAAACUCUGAAGCCUCUGACUGUUUUUUUGUUUUGUUUGUUGUGUUUUUCAGCCCAGCCUGGGAAAACUUCUAAAGGGUGCUUUAGAAGAAAAAUAUGUUUGCAAUAGUUUUCCAAGCAAUCAGGGAAUUUCCCAAGCAAGGGAAGUAAGGUAACAGGUAACAUUUACUGUACACUGAAAGAUUAUUCAGCCAAAGCAAGUCUGCACCUUGCCUGACACUGCAUCUACACAACUGCUGAUGUAAAAUAGGUGCACUGAAGAUCUGUAUCUCCUCAUUCUCUGCAAGUUGCAAGAAAACUUGGAGAUGAACUGCACAAGCCGUAUGAAGACUGAAGUACAAAGAGUGAAAGAGAUGAACAGACUGUUGGUGCUGCAAACAACCACCAGCCCUGGACCAGUUUUCAGGAUGACUCUGGAUGCCACUUUGGUCAUAUGAUGGCUUCUGUUCAGGACUUGCUGUUUUGGCUCAUGUUUGGAAACCUGACAUCUAUUUUUUGCUCAGCAUUAUUGAAGAAAACUGUUGUAAACAGAACCUGUGCACAAACCAGAAUGCAACUUCCGUACAAAAUGUUAUCUUUUUUUUUGUUAUCUUUUUUUUUUUUUUUUUUUUCUUAAAUGCAGAACUGAAAUGUUAGAAAAUGCAAGAUGGAAGUUUUGUUGGAAACAGCAGAGGCAGCUCCUUGUCUUCCCAUCUGCAGGAAAAACUUUCAAACCCAUUUCUGGGAGUUAUGCCUGGAAGACAGCCUCCUGCCUGCAGUUCCAGGUAUACCAUGCAGUCAAGAAAUCUGUUGCUUGGGAGCCACUGAGGUACACCUGCUCGUCCCUUUGCAGCAGCUCACAGAGAGUCCAUCAGCCUCCUCAGGCUCAUGAUCAGGGAAGCAUCAUGUCAUGUCACAGACUGGUACCCACAGGAAGGUCAGGAGACCACCCCCUGGGCUGCCAGGAGUCCUUCUGCCUCAUUUGUUGGCUCCAAGAAAUCACCAGGUUUGUCCAAAGCAUUUCAAUCAAUGCACAAAUUGUACCACAUCAUCUGGUCCUGAGUGCUCUGUCCUUUAUGUGGUACAGAAGGGAAUGGGAUGAAUUCAAACAUGCUGAAAUACACUGCAACUGGCACCAAGGACUUAUUGUUAGACUAUAUUGUUGUACCUGGAUGUGAGGCUAGGUAGUGAGACAAAACCACAGUUCUAUGAAAAAAUCAAUAUCAAAUUUGUUUCAGUAGGGCUUUGUGAGGAGAUCUUUUAAAAAUCGUACAAGCCAGCACAUCAUCAGAAUUAAUUUCUACUCUGUCACAUCUCUCCUGAGAACUGCUCUAUGACAAAAAUAAGAUAGGCAAAAAAUGUAAAGUUGACAAAGUAAUUAAAAGAAUGAAUGUGUUGUGUUUGGGAGCUGGUAACAAAGCUGUGAAAUAACUAUGAAAAAGCUGUAAACAGUACAUAUGAUAUAUUAGAAAAAGGCGUAUUUUAAAUACUAUUCAAAAUAAUUUUUUUAAUAACCCCAUAAUUAUACAUUAGUUCUGUGCUAUAUAAAGAACGAGAAUUAAUAAACAUAAAUAUCCUCAUGCUGUAAAAAGUACUGUAUAGACACAGUGAUAAACACUGCUUGUAGUACAAAAAUCAAUGAACAUAUAGUUUAAAUUCAACCUUACAGAUUCUGCUGACUCUAAAUAAACUUCCACUCAAUAGUAACUUAAUCUACUUAGCCAACUUUUUUCAGUUACCUCUCUCCUCAUUUAAAGAGACUUUCAGCAUCUCUUUAAUCAUUAAAGCCUCUACAAUGUGUAACAAUAAA